rnacentral:rRNA from 1 species
GACGAACGCUGGCGGCGUGCCUAAUACAUGCAAGUAGAACGCUGAAGGAAGGAGCUUGCUCUUUCUGGAUGAGUUGCGAACGGGUGAGUAACGCGUAGGUAACCUGCCUGGUAGCGGGGGAUAACUAUUGGAAACGAUAGCUAAUACCGCAUAAAAUGGAUUAUCGCAUGAUAAUUCAUUGAAAGGUGCAAAUGCAUCACUACCAGAUGGACCUGCGUUGUAUUAGCUAGUUGGUGGGGUAACGGCUCACCAAGGCGACGAUACAUAGCCGACCUGAGAGGGUGAUCGGCCACACUGGGACUGAGACACGGCCCAGACUCCUACGGGAGGCAGCAGUAGGGAAUCUUCGGCAAUGGACGGAAGUCUGACCGAGCAACGCCGCGUGAGUGAAGAAGGUUUUCGGAUCGUAAAGCUCUGUUGUAAGAGAAGAACGAGUGUGAGAGUGGAAAGUUCACACUG